rfam:Enterococcus phoeniculicola ATCC BAA-412 genomic scaffold acvKl-supercont1.4, whole genome shotgun sequence.
UAAUCCUUUAAGAGUAGUCCCGUGAGGCUAAGAAGGAAGCGAGUAAGCUCAAUACUCAGUGCGCUGAGAGUUUGACUUAUUCUAUAGACGUGUAUACCCAAAAGUCCGAAACCAUCCUCCUACCUUCACAGGUAGGAGUUUUUUUUU